rnacentral:rRNA from 1 species
GGUUUUGGUAAGCAGAACGGGCGAUUCGGGAUGAACCGGAAGCGGGGAGAAAGGGCCCGAGAUUGCGUCGACGCGGAUCCCGAAAAGGGCGUCGAUCCGUCGCGACAGCGGGACGGUGGUCAUGGAAGUCGAAAUCCGCUAAGAAGCGUGUAAAAACGUACCCGCCCAACGGAUCGGCCCCGAAAAUUGAUGGCGCUCGAACGCAACCCUCGAACCCCGCCGACGGAGGCUAGGGGAGGCCCCGUCGAGUAGGCGGACGCGCGGGUCGCUUCGACGCUCCCGCGCGAGCGGGGGCGGAGCGGCCCGUGGUGCAGAUCUUGGUGGUAGUAGCGAUCACCCAGGCGAGAACCCUGAGGGCCGAAGUGGAGAAGGGUUUCUCGAGAACGGCACUCGCUCGAGAGUUAGUCGAUCCUAAGCUGCCGGCGGCAGCCACGAAACGGUCGAUCGGGCGCGAGCCCGGCAGCCACGACCGGGCAGCGAAAGGGAAUUGGGAACCUCCUUCCCAAACCCGGAACCGGAACGAGGGCGGCGACG